rnacentral:rRNA from 1 species
GAUGAACGCUAGCUACAGGCUUAACACAUGCAAGUCGAGGGACCGGCGCACGGGUGAGUAACACGUAUCCAACCUGCCCUUUACUCGGUGAUAGCCUUUCGAAAGAAAGAUUAAUACCCGAUGUAAAGGAUGGGGAUGCGUUCCAUUAGGUUGUUGGUGAGGUAACGGCACACCAAGCCUUCGAUGGAUAGGGGUUCGGAGAGGAAGGUCCCCCACAUUGGAACUGAGACCCGGUCCACACUGCGACGGGAGGCAGGAGUGAGGAAUAUUGGGCGAUGGGCGCUAGCCUGAACCAGCCAAGUAGCGGGAAGGAUGAAGGCUUAUGGGUCGUAAACUGGUUGUAUAUAAGAAUAUGUAUUAUAUGAAUAAGGAUCGGCUAACUCCGUGCCAGCAGCCGCGGUAAUUC